GUUCCUGUAGCUCAGUCGGUAGAGCGCGGCUCUCCUAAAGCUGAGGUCGUGGGUUCAAGUCCCACCUGGAACG
rfam:chromosome IX of strain GB-M1 of Encephalitozoon cuniculi (Microspora)